rnacentral:rRNA from 1 species
UGUGUUUGUAAGUGUGUAAGGGCGCAUGGUGGAUGCCUUGGCACUGGGAGCCGAUGAAGGACGUGGGAGA